rnacentral:rRNA from 1 species
CACUUAGAUGUUCUGGGCCGCACGCGCGCUACACUGAUUCAUGCAACAAGUUUUGUCCUUGGCUGAUAGGCCUGGGUAAUCUUUGAACGUGAAUCGUGAUGGGGAUAGAUGAUUGCAAUUAUUCAUCUUCAACGAGGAAUUCCUAGUAAACGCAAGUCAUCAGCUUGCAUUGAUUACGUCCCUGCCCUUUGUACACACCGCCCGUCGCACCUACCGAUUGAAUGGUCCGGUGAAAUCUUCGGAUCUGAGAGAUGUCUGAUUAAUUUCGGACGCCUUUUGGAAAAGUUGUUUAAACCUUACCAUUUAGAGGAAGGUGAAGUCGUAACA